UACGUAGGGUGCGAGCGUUUGUCCGGAAUUAUUGGGCGUAAAGAGCUCGUAGGCGGUCUGUCGCGUCUGCUGUGAAAUCCCGAGGCUCAACCUCGGGCUUGCAGUGGGUACGGGCAGGCUAGAGUGCGGUAGGGGAGAAUGGAACUCCUGGUGUAGCGGUGGAAUGCGCAGAUAUCAGGAAGAACACCGAUGGCGAAGGCAGUUCUCUGGGCCGUAACUGACGCUGAGGAGCGAAAGCGUGGGGAGCGAACAGG
rnacentral:rRNA from 1 species